rnacentral:rRNA from 1 species
AUGCAAAGAACUUUGAAAAGAGAGUUAAAGAGUACCUGAAAUCGCUGAAAUGGAAGCGAAGGAAACCAGUGGCAUUCUCCUACAUUCUUCCCCUGUUGCUUGCAGCAGGGGCGCUGUGUUGGAGAGUCGGCCAGCAUGGGUUUGUGCCGGUGGAAGACGCUUGACAGGAGGCAGCUAGAAUUCCUAGCAAAUACUGUCUUGUGGUGCACUGGUGGAGACUGAGGCUAGUCACGUUUGUGCUCGUGAUGCUGGCGAAAUGGUUUUCUUUACCCCGUCUUGAAACACGGACCAAGGAGUCUAACAUAUGUGCGAGUAUAUGGGUGGCAAACCCACAUGCGAAAUGAAAGUAACAGUGGUAGGACCUUUUGGGCACUAUCCGCCGGCCAAUAUCCCUCGGGAGAACGGUCUGAGUGUGAGCAUACAUGUUGGGACCCGAAAGAUGGUGAACUAUGCCUGAAUAGGGUGAAGCCGCGGGAAACCGCGGUGGAGGCUCGUAGCGGUUCUGACGUGCAAAUCGAUCGUCAAAUUUGGGUAUAGGGGCGAAAGACUAAUCGAACCAUCUAGUAGCUGGUUCCCUCCGAAAUUUCCCUCAGGAUAGCUGCAAUCGAUGUCAAUUUUAUCA